rnacentral:rRNA from 1 species
GAUGAACGCUAGCGGGAGGCUUAACACAUGCAAGCCGAGGGGUAGAGAUCUUUCGGGAUCUUGAGACCGGCGCACGGGUGCGUAACGCGUAUGCAACUUGCCCUACUGAAAGGGAUAGCCUUUUGAAAAGAAGAUUAAUACCUUAUAAUAGACACUUCGGCAUCGGAGUGUUUUGAAAGAUUUAUCGCAGUAGGAUAGGCAUGCGUAAGACUAGAUAGUUGGUGAGGUAACGGCUCACCAAGUCAACGAUCUUUAGGGGGCCUGAGAGGGUGAACCCCCACACUGGUACUGAGACACGGACCAG